rnacentral:rRNA from 1 species
UACGUAGGGCGCAAGCGUUGUCCGGAAUUAUUGGGCGUAAAGAGCUCGUAGGCGGUUUGUCGCGUCGGGAGUGAAAACCCAGGGCUUAACUCUGGGCUUGCUUUCGAUACGGGCAGACUAGAGGUAUGCAGGGGAGAACGGAAUUCCUGGUGUAGCGGUGAAAUGCGCAGAUAUCAGGAGGAACACCGGUGGCGAAGGCGGCGACCUGGUCCUUGACUGACGCUGAGGCGCGAAAGCGUGGGGAGCAAACAGG